UGGAUUUCUAUCACAAAGGGAAUCAGGACCCAGGAGACAUAUGUUCUGUGUGGGGAGGAUAUCCAGUGUAUUCAGGGGCUAGUAAAUGACUUAGAAAAUUAUAUGUAACUGCUCCCACUAAAGUUGGCAGUGUUAUUGGGGAUGUCUUCUGUGGUACCUAGGGAACAUUUUGUACCUAAUUUGCUAAGGAUAUUUCAAUUUUGAACUUAAAACUGUUUCAUGCUUUAUUUUGCAAUACAAAUAUGGGUCAUUUCAUUGCAGUGUUCAUUGAAAGAUUCUCUCUAGUGUACUAUGCCCAGAAAGUAUUGAAUUAGUUCUGCUCUAUUGAAAUCAAUACAAAAUUGUCUGAGGAGUGCACAGCUUCCAUGUCGCAUUAUUAAACUAUCAUUGUUUUCUUCCAGGUCUAUGCAUAUAAUUUUUUUCCAAAACAUUAUAAAAUGAAAGCUCAGUGAAAACAAGAGGCCAGGUCUGCAAGUUCUCUGUAAUUGGAGGGUGAAUAUGAGUUGGAUGAGAAAUCUACUGGAUAAAAUUAGAGAAUAAAUAGAAGGAUACAUUAUGUGUUCUGAGGUCAAUAAUUAAUUAAAUGUAAUUACUGUAAUCAUAUUAUUAGAAAAUAAAGACUUGCCUUGUGCCUUUGGAGAGA
rnacentral:lncRNA from 1 species